AUAUGACUCCCCAGCACCGGGCGGUGAUGAAUUGGGACGCAGGCGCGGAGCCCAGGGACCACUCCCCCUGCACAGACAUGAGACCAUAGGGGACCUGUCUGGGUGGCCUCAGGGAUAGGCGCUCCCCAAGGUAAGAGGGCUUUGUUGAGUU
rfam:Gorilla gorilla gorilla genomic chromosome, chrX, whole genome shotgun sequence